AAACAAGCACGUAGGUGUUUGUCUGUGACUUGCUCCAUUCAGGCCCUCUCCCGGUGCCAGAAAAGCCCUGCUUCCAGCUGCACAAUCAGUAUUAUCACAAUGUGCUAUUUUUGGCUCCUGAGUGCAUCUCUCUUGGCGUCAUCCUUCCCACUCCAGCCCUGGUACGAAGGGCACAAACUCUUCUUUCCCCUCCCUCGUCCUCCGCUGCCGCUCCCGUCUGCGCGGUGCCGCAGAGGGGUCUCCGGACGCUUCUCCCUGGUCCUUCUCAUUUUCCUGGGCAAGAGGCUUUCCAUCCAAAGCUUCAUGCAGGAGGCUUCAUGUUGGCAUCCAGAGUACAUGUCCCAAAUAUGUCCAGCCUCACUUUCUGAUCCUAGUGGCAAGGAGCCACAGACAGAUGACAGUAGCUGUCCUCCUUCCAUUCUGAGGAAAAGGCCACCUGUGGACCAAGCUGUGGGGGAAAAGCGGAGAGCAGAGAGAAGGGUUCGAUUUCGUGAGCCAGAAGAAGUCAUUGAACAUGUCAUUUCCUGCUGUGACUACGUAGUGGCAGAUGACAGGACAUCAUCUGGAUUGCCUGUGCUCCUGUGGCUCUCGUUUUGUGGAGUGCUGAUUCUUGCUGUGAGCCUCUACUACACCAGCAUGAAGCAGGAUGUCAAAGUCCUGGAGGAAUUUCAAUCCCGACUUGUCAUCUUCUUCCUUCAUAUAAGACACGUUGCUCAGAGGUGCUGGACUUGGUUUUUGAGGCAGUAG
rnacentral:lncRNA from 1 species